AGACCAAGAGAGAGCAAGGGACUUGAGGGUACGUGGCAAAUGGCAGAACUGACCUAUGAAUCCAGCUCUUAGGAUUUCAGUUUUAACAGCUGGUUCAUGGCACUGCUGUCAUCAAGCUUCUACCUAAGAGAAAGAUUCCCAAGCCAGAAGGCUAGAAUGCUAUGAAGAUGCAAAUGUUGUUUGAAG